AACAGGGACAAAACCUAAAGUCCUAAAAUUUGAUGGCCAAUGAAUGCAAGUUAAUAGUCAGUCAUCUCAUAGAUGAUCAAGUCCUGUGACAUGUCCAAAUAUAUAUUUAUAGUCGUACAGAUGCAAACAUGGUCUCACUGCCAUCUUUAAUAAACAGCUGAGGAUGGUCCUUGAGUCAGCAUACAGGAGUUGCUAAAGAUAAUAAUAAUAAAAAAACGAGCUUUCCCGAGAGGUUCAUCCAGAGCAAUAGCUGUGCUCCAGACCGUGGCUGCUGCUCUGAGGCUGUUGGCAUUCCCGCACAGAAAACAAGAGGUCUGCAGUGCCCCAUCCCGCUGGGGUGGAGCCAAAAGUCAACUCUGCCACGUGACUGUUUCAAAUGCAGCCAAAGGAGACGCUGGUCCCGCUGCUGUCUCAACAAGCCAUGGCUGGCUGCCUGCCGGCAGACUGACUUCUGGAAGUGUAAAUGCUCCCAUGCAGGCUUGUUCUCUGUGCCCAGCCAUGGAGGAUCAACCAGCACAAGAGCCACAAACACCUCCAGCCUUCUACCUCUUUGGCCUGGCGGCCUUGAUUCAGCGACCUCCACCACCCUCGCCCAGCCCAGGGCCAGAAAAGGGCACAGGAGAAGGUACCAGACGUGGAGAGCCGAGAGAAUGCAAUCGCCAUUACGAGAUGGCGCCGACAUCCGGCCCCGGCCCUAAUGAACAAAUAAUAGACCGCAUGUGCAAGUUGCAAAAGCGCGCCAAGCCACUGCCCAGCCCAGGGCGCCACUGCCCAGCCCGGGGCGUCACUGCCCAGCCCGGGGCGUCACUGCCCAGCCCGGGGCGUCACAUGGGGCAAUGGGCAAGCAGCCAACCAGCGGAGUACACGCCGCCAUAGGGUGUAUUUAAGCAGCACCUUUCCGGCGGUUAUCGUCUUCCUCUUUUCAUUGUAAUAAAAGCUUGCUGCAGGAGGAUCCUGGUGUCUGCGUGCGUUCUUGCUGGCGAGAUGAUUACACGGGCAACAUCUGGUGCCGAAGCCCGGGACGCCGGGCAGCCUUUGAUCGCCAGCCCUGGGGAGACCCCCUCGCUCGCGCUUGAGGGGAGGAUUCAGAACUGCAGCUCUAAGGAAGAAAACAAUCCAUUCUGGGUACCGGAGCACCUCACGCGAAAGCUCGCAGCAGCUGAAGAUGAUCCUCCAACGAAUAUACCUGCAACUAAUUCCAGUUCUUGCUUGGAUCCUUCUAAUUCGGGUUCCUAGUAUUGUGGGGGUACAACGUUGGGCCAUUUUGUCUGCAUUCCCGAAGCCUAUGCCGGUCAGACAUAAUUCAUUGACUUUCCCAAAAUUCUUCUCGUCCAAUAAAGAUUUAGGCCUGCCUUAUUUGCCUUAUGAUGAGACUGAGGCAUCAUUAGGGGAAAGCCAUGACUUUCCAGAAGCUGGCUCCCUUUGCUUUCAAAUUGAGGAUUCCGUAGGAGAUUGUGUUCGGCUUACCAAAAGGAUUUUUGGGUCAUUUAGCUAUAAGGAUCGGAAUUGGGAAGUUAUGACCCAAAAGAAAAGGGGUAAUAAUGACACCAUUGAUGUCUAUUAUACCUUUUGGCAAAAGGUCACCUGGGUAAACGGUUCCUUUUUAGGACCAAAUUUUUUAGAUAAAAAUAGACCUCUUCAACCUAGGGUGGCCCCUUCAUGUGCAUGGGAGGAUGAUGAGACCAUCCCUCCAUGGUCCGACUGCCAGUCGCGCUUUACUCGAUGGGCUGACAAAAAUAAAACCUUUUCCUUUUCCCCAAAUAUGUUGAUGGAUCCUACAAAAAGUAUGGUAAUGAAAAGGGGCUCUUUAUACAACAUCGAGAUAUGGUCCCUUUUUAUAAAUGGAUACUUUGUGGGAUAAAUGUUAGUUGUACGGACCUCAAUCCUCUGGGAUUCAUUAGUGGUGGUACUGUAGGGAAAUCGAUCAUCAUGGGCGCCCUAAAUGGUACUGCGUUAAAAAAGGGUAUGGAAAUGGUGAAUGCGACAAGGCAAAUUACCCAUUGAAAUAGAACCAUUACAAUUCAGACGACUUUUCCACCUAGUCCUGUCUGUGUUUAUCCCCCUUUCUUACUUGUUUUGUCCAAUAAUUCUUUUGGAAAUUGUACCAAUGAGACAUGCUGGAUGUCGCAAUGUUGGGAUGCCAGGCGUUACGCUCGUGCCUUGGUUGUUAGAGUCCCGCAGUAGAUUCCAGUCCCAGUGGAGACUCCAUUCACCCUCUCCCUGUUUAGACAGAAGAGAGAUUUUGGCAUCACCACAGCCGUUGUUACUGCCAUCGCUGUCAGCGCAGCUGCUGCCACUGCAGCCGGCUUGGCAAUGGCAAAUUCAGUCCAAACAAGCACAACAGUAAAUCAAUUGUCAGCAGGUGUGUCUGAAGCCAUGAACCUUCAUGUAUCUGCUAGCGCACAAUUAAAAGGUGGAUUGAUGAUUCUUAACCAGCGUCUGGAUCUUGUGGAAGAAAGAAUAGAUAUUUUAUCUCAAUUGGCUCAAUUAGGGUGUGAAAGAAAAAGAGGAGCACUCUGUAUUACCAGUGUACAAUAUGAAAAUCUUACCCGAGCCGCUAAUUCGUCCAGGAAAUUGUCCCUAUAUCUUGCAGGAAACUGGUCAGAAGGAUUUGAAGAAAUGCUUGAAGAGCUAAGGGCGGCGGUGGUGACCACUAAUUCUACUCGAGUGGAUUUAUCGCUCACAGAUGGCUUAUUAUCCUGGGCUUCUUCCGCCUUUUCUUAUUUUAAGGAAUGGGUGGGCAUUGGAAUGUUUGGUGCAGCCCUAUGUUGCAGCUUAGUGUUCUUACUCUGGUUAGUCUGCAAGCUCAAAGCCCAACAACAACGUGACAAGGUCGCGAUCGCGCAAGCACUUGUGGCCUUGGAGCAAGGAUCAUCUCCCAAAAUUUGGUUAUCCAUGUUAAAAGAUUAAAACAGACUGUGACACUCAGUCGAUGCACCUCAGGGGUUUCACCCAUUGCAAUGAGUCGAUGAGUGAUCCAGGUCAAUGUUGCCUUUGCCUAAGCGGCUAUGGUACCUAGAUAGGAGGGUGACAGCCCUUGCACUCCCUGGAAUUUUAUUCCAUUGCACGGGAAUGGGUGUCACCUCCUUCUUUAAUCUUCUCCCUUAGCCCCUGCACCCAGACAACUUGUCUCCAUUGCACCUGGUGGGGUAAGGGAGUAAUCUAAAGCUCUUGAUCGCUUACUCCCCAAAGAAGGAGUUCGCUUGAUCGAGCUUAGGGCUUUCUUGUGCCGCGCUUACAAGGCUUUGAGGCAGUUUUCAUUUAUUAAAACAAAAAGGGGGAUAUGUGGAGAGCCGAGAGAAUGCAAUCGCCAUUACGAGAUGGCGCCGACAUCCGGCCCCGGCCCUAAUGAACAAAUAAUAGAGCGCGGGUGCAAGUUGCAAAAGCGCGCCAAGCCACUGCCCAGCCCGGGGCGUCACACGGGGCAAUGAGCAAGCAGCCAACCAGCAGAGUACACGCCGCCAUAGGGUGUAUUUAAGCAGCACCAUUCUGGCGGUUAGGGUCUUCCUCUUUUCAUUGUAAUAAACGCUUGCUGCAGGAGGAUCCUGGUGUCCGCGUGCGUUCUUGCUGGCGAGACAAUUACGCGGGCAACAACCAGAUCUCAUUAUAGAUGGUUAUAAGGCACCAUGUGGUUGCUGGGAAUUGAACUCAGGACCUUUGGAAGGACAGCCAGUGCUCUUAACCUCUGAGCCAUGUCUCCAGCCCCUAAGAAAGUGUUUUAAGGUUGCUAAAGGCAAGAUAUAAAGGUUGCAAGGUCUCAGGUGAUGUAAGGAAUCCUAAAUAGGUAAAAAGGCUUAAUGUUUCCUCUUGUUGCUAUGCUACUGUUAAAUUGACUGUCCAGAGCUUUGGCCUUUAUCAAUAGAGCUCUGAUUUAUCAAUCUAACUCUAAUACAAAAGCAUUCCACUAUACUACCCACUAUCAUGAUUCCAAGAUCAAGAUUUUAAGUCUCCAUAAUGUGUACUUAUACUAAAGGUUAAGAUCAAUUGAGCUUUUGUCUCUUCUGCUUCAUGAAAGGCUUCUGCCUUUCCAGAGCUCACCUUAAAGAUGCCUAUGCUGUUAACACAAAUGUGUAUGUCUACUGCCUUUUCUACAAUGUGUAUUUCAGUGCAGAUUACAAUUGUGAUGCUAACGUGUCUGAAGUUUUAUCUCCUUUGUAAAACUUAAAAAUAAUUCUUGUAGCUGCAGAAAAUCCACCUGAAUCCACCUCCAGGUGAACUGGGCUCCAGAUAAGUACUGCAUUAUUGCCUAUCCCAGAGGGUGGGAUUCCUCCCCUUUCCCUGGUUUUGCGACUUCCCUUCCCAGGCUACUUGAUUGCUGCCUUCACAGGCAACACUGGCUGCAUUGGUGAGUUUCUCAUUGUCCAGCAUAAAAGCCUCUCUUGGUAAGGGAAGCUUGAUUGUUGAGCAUCGACAACUAUCUACUAUCUUUUGAGAUGGAGGGACCCCCCCAACCAUGGUCUUCACUGGCUUUGGUUGACCUUUUGCUGACCUCCAUUUAGGACUUCUCUUUCCCUUGGGAGAGAUUUUUUUCCUCUAAAUGCAGUUUCUUCCUCCUCCUCCCAUGCUUGCCUAUGAAAAUCCUAGCGCUAGGUAAACUGUGUCUCCUAUGGGCAGCUGUGCCCUUGGUCUCUGGCCAAAGCUGACGAGCUGUUGGAUCAGGUAGGGCCAUUUCUACUGGGUUAAACCUUGCUCUUGGGACACCUUGACAGGUCACUGACUCCCUACCCUCCCAAUGGGAAUAGUCCAUUCGUCCGUUCCUCCAGAUUCUCCUCUGGAAUGUCUUCUGGAGAAUUUCAGGUCUCUACACCUAGUGCCACUUUAAGAGCCUCUAAGAUUACACACUUCUGUAACCAAACUUGGCUUCAAUUUCCUUAGAUGACAGAUCCAGAGCAAAGCCUUUUUGCCAGUGACUGGGUAAAUGCAGGUUCUAUCAGGUAGACGGAGGCUCCCAUGCUCAAGUAUCUUAUCUUCGAUCCAAACCUUCCACCUCUGUUCACUCCCCAAAGUUUUCAAUGUACACCUAAAGGAUUUUCUCCAUAACCUACUCAGCUUUAUCUUUUGCUCAUAUAUGUGUUUCAGUGUCCUGCCAGACACAGAUGUUUCCUAUAGCCACAACAGCGCCAAAGCAGCUACAAGUGUUCAACUCUGACCUCACAGACUUCCAUCAAGCUGGGCCUGCACUUUCCCUCCCAGCCAUGGAUGUUUUCACAGACCCUGGACAGCAUCAAAGCAGCCUGUUCUUCCUGGACUUGGCCAACAUUUCAGCCUUCAGACCUCCCUACAGCACCCCCAGUGUCAGCAGGAAGCAGCCAGAAGAGAAUCUACCCCCGUUAUUCACUUAUUAACAAAAGGCUGGAAUGGUGUGCUUCAGGCCCAGGACAAGCAGCUCCAGGUUCUCCCAGCAUUCCUCAGUCCCUACCUGCUGCCUUGCGUGGCUGACAGCUCUCUACUGACAACCCUCUACCCUGAACUUUCCAGGACAGAGGCUUCCCUUCUUCUUGACCAUGUAAUCUGGACACUUUGUUGCUAUUUUUUUUUUCUCUCUCUCUUACCCCCUUGCAUGGCAACCAAGAGCCGCUUCCAAUGAACCUAAAUGUAUAUACUUUAACUUGUCUUACAUGAGAAGCAGCCCAAGAUCCUCAUUUUUUAAUUAUAGAAAAGGGGAGGAAUGUUAGUAUUUAGACACCUGCUUCUGGGUUGCCUAGCAACCUAUGAUGUCAUCAUGUGUCAAUGGCCAGGUACCCACACCUGGCAGGUGUGGUUACGUUGCUCCUUAAAAGGACCAACCUGCUGCUGUGUCUCUCUCUUGGCUCUUGCCAUCUCCUCUCUUGCCCUCUCCCCUUUCUCUUUCAGGGUGCCACGCUCCCUUCCCCUAUCAUGUCUUGCUCUCUCCUUCUCUCUCUUCAUCUCCAUCUAAUAAACCUCUUUCAUAUAAAAUCUGCUGUGCGCAUCAUCAUCAUUUAUUUGGUCCUAACAGUAUCUGUUAGUAUUACUUUUAAAAAUGCGUUUUGCAGUUUCUCUCUUAAGCUGGCUAGCAUCCAAAUAGUUGAGACUGGACUACUGUAUUUAUUUAACAAGCUUUACAGCACAAUACUGAGCAGUUAUCGCUCUAUUCUUAACCCUCUAAGAGAGUCUGAUUUCCUCUUUGCCAAAAUCUCAGAGAUGCUUACAUUUUAUGGCGUUCUCUGCUCCAGCGGCUCUUUUCUAAUGAUGUUCCCUGUACCUCUGCCCAUAGCUGAAUCCCUCUGUCUCCCUCCUCCCUGGCUGCAUUCUCGCCCCUGCUCCGUGAUUGGCUGUUAAGAUGCUUUGUUGACAUAUCAGGGGACAACUGGGGAGCAAAGUUUAGACAGGAGAUUCUCAGAACAAGGAAUGCAGCCAGCUAUGGGGGAUGGCACAGAGAUCAGCAUUUGAAUCUUUACACAACAGCACCGUGACUACAAGUACCUAACGCAGGUGAAAGGCCUCAAAGUCUGUGGGUCUACCUGGACUGCAUAACCAAAGUGUAACGUAACUGUCCAUCCAUGACGUAUGGAAGGAUGGCGAAUGUGGACUCUGCCAACAAGAUUUGCUGGCUCCGCAGAGACGUUCUUGUCCGGCUCUCAGAGCUGUUCCCACAGAGACGAUCAGCGGCCACCUCACCGGGUUUGUCCUCCGUGUCUGCAGCCACCAUUUUCGGGAAGGCCUCCCCCAGUCAAAGUCAAUCCUCAUUAAUUUUGAAGGAAGUUGAAGGAAGCUUUUCGCUUCCUGUUGAAACAGGAGCAGAUCCUCUCUCCUCAAACAGUCAUUUUUUAUAUACAGUAUGUUGAAUCGGUUUUCCCUGUCGUUCAGCCUGGUCCCAAACAUUUAGGGCCGCUACACAGCACUGCUCUAAGGCAGAACGGUUACACCUGACCUGCACUCGAUUCAGAAUCUGGACCCUCACCUAGCAGCUGCUUGAUUCUUGGCGGGGUCGACACCUCUACACCUAUUUCUUUGCUCGUGACUGAAGCCUCGUCUUUCCGCCACGUUAGCCAUUGUAGCUAAGAACCAGGUUCUAAGAUGGCUGACAGACACCAAGUCCCUCCAGCCUUUUGCAUGAUUUUGCACGGCCCAGUCGUUACGCAUCUCGUUUACACAAACUGAAUCAUUCAUGACAUCCUUGCUUCUUUAAGUCCAGUGCCUCUACCGGCUGCCACCUCGCUCUCGACGACCUUGUGGAUUUCUCUCAUCUGGAGCUACUUCUCUUACCACAGCUGGGACAGUCAGUGCGGGCUUUCUGGCGCGGUGGCAGUCUGUAAGGUGCCCCUGUGGGUUUCAGACUGAAGUCCUCUCUCUUCAGGCCCCACGCCCACAUCUAGUGGUGUAAGUUUGUAUUUACCGGCUCUGUGUGAGCACCAAAUGCAGCUGGUCUUUUCUGUUUGCUUGUUUUUUUGUUUUUUGAGACAGGGUUUCUCUGUGUAGCCUUAGCUGUCCUGGACUCCCUUUGCAGACCAGGCUGGCCUGGACCUCACAGGGAUCCGCCUGCCUCUGCCUCCAGAGUGCUGUGCUCAGAGGCGUGCACCAGCACACCCGGCCGUAGCUGGUCUUUUAUAGGCCCGUCAGCUAUAUAAAUAGGGACACAGAGACUCUGUUUAUUUCAAAGCUUAGGCCUUUAACCUGACAACCUCCCAGCUCCUUUAAGCUGACUAAUUCUGUCCUGCCAUAACCCGGCCUGUCUGCUCAUGUUCUCGCCCGUCCACUUCCUGCCCAGAUGUCGGCCAUCAGAUCUUUAGUAAAGCCUGAGAUCAUGCCCUUCACACGGGGUACCCCAGGAAA